rnacentral:rRNA from 1 species
UGGGGAAUAUUGGACAAUGGGCGCAAGCCUGAUCCAGCCAUGCCGCGUGAGUGAUGAAGGCCUUCGGGUUGUAAAGCUCUUUUGGCGGGGACGAUGAUGACGGUACCCGCAGAAUAAGCCCCGGCAAACUUCGUGCCAGCAGCCGCGGUAAGACGAAGGGGGCAAGCGUUGUUCGGAAUUACUGGGCGUAAAGGGCGCGUAGGCGGCUCUUUAAGUCAGGCGUGAAAGCCCUGGGCUCAACCUGGGAGUGGCGCUUGAUACUGGAGGGCUAGAGAGUGGGAGAGGUUGGUGGAAUUCCCAGUGUAGAGGUGAAAUUCGUAGAUAUUGGGAAGAACACCGGUGGCGAAGGCGGCCAACUGGACCAUUUCUGACGCUGAGGCGCGAAAGCGUGGGGAGCAAA